CCCCUAGAUGUUCUGGGCUGCACGCGUGUUACAAUCGGGAGUACAACAAGAUUGCAAAUCCUAGUGGAUGAGUGGUUCUUCGAAAUUUUCUGAAGACUGGGAUAGUUGAUUGAAAUUAUUCAACUCGAACGAGGAAUUCCUUGUAAUUGUAAUUCAUUAUACUGUAAUGAAUACGUCCCUGCCCUUUGUACACACCGCCCGUCGCUCCUACCGAUUGAACGAUCCGGUGAAUUAUUUGGAGUAGCUCUGGAAGUUGCAGAACUUCCUAUGUCACGAAAUUUUGUAAACCUUAUCGUUUAGAGGAAGGAAAAGUCGUAACA
rnacentral:rRNA from 1 species